rnacentral:rRNA from 1 species
UCUGAAUUGCGUACGGCUCCGCACACCAGUUGUAAACCAAAGCAAGCAAGCCUGACCCCGAGGCCUUCACAGGUCAAAGGGCCAGGUUACAAGGAUAACCCUGGUAAUUCUGAGGCUAAUACGUGACACGAACCUGUCGACUGGGGGCUUGCCCCUGGGAAGCGGGGGAUGUGCGACUAUCGGGCCAAAAACAACCGGAAAGAGCGCACGUUCAGACCACUCCAAAAAAGGUCUGCAGGAUCCCUCACGGGGUUUUGUGGAUCUUGUGGCUCUUGCACUGUGCUUCUGACCUAUCAACUAGACGGCAGCUUAAGGGACAUGCUUUGGU